CCCUUCGAUACUCUGGGCGGCACGCGCGCUACAAUGGGAAGAGGAAAGUGUUACGUGCUCGAGAGAGCUAGUGAAUCAUGAAUAUAAGGUCGUGAGUGGGAUAGUUCAUUGCAAUUACGAACUUGAACAAGGAAUUCCUUGUAGGUGCACUGCAUCAUAGUGCGCCGAAUACGUCCCUGCCGUUUGUACACACCGCCCGUCGCUCCUACCGAUUGAGUGAUCCGGUGAGGCUCUGGGACCUGGACGGAAAGAGCGUUUCGCUUGUUCUGUUUGGGAAACUUGGUCGAACCUUAUCUUUUAGAGGAAGGAGAGGUCGUAACA
rnacentral:rRNA from 1 species